GGGGUCUAAGAUGCUGUGUUUUGUUUGAACUACUGUAAAAGGUCUGCUGAGUAAGUUGUGGCUUGCGGAAGACUGUGUGUUGGUUUCAGAGGAUUAGGGACAGAAACACACAAUUGAGGUUUAGCAUAGGAUACUGGGAGCUCUUCUGGGGCCCUGCGUGUGUGCACUUGUAUGUGAAUGUAUGGAUACAAGUAUACAUGUGUGUGCCCUGCCCUGGGCAGCGAGAAGAAUGUUCAAAGGGGGCUGGCUUACAGGGGGAUAGGGGUCAGGAAUGAGUGGGGCUGUAUUGGGAAAGUGAGAGUCUAUAAUGGGAAUUUUAAUGUGGGAGACUUUGUCUGGGGCCUUGGAAAGCCUCUAGAGGAGCGUGUGUAUAUGUCUGUAUGUAUACAUGGGUAUAUGUAUGCACAGUCAUGUAUGCAUGCACAUGUACGUGUAUGUUUGUGCAUGUGUGUAGAUGUGUAUCCACACACAUAUGUGCAAGUGAAUCUAUGUGUUCAGGUGUAUGUGUGUGCAUGUUGUUCAUACAUGAGUUUGCAUUGGUAGAAACAGG
rnacentral:lncRNA from 1 species